AGUAGUUUUUGAAGAAUCAUUUGUUGUAAUCGUUCAGCUGCGUUAUUGAAAAUCUGUUUAACCAUCAAGUGUCGUUGAUUCAACAUCAUUAUCGUCAUCAUCAACGCGGUUUUCAACAGAUUAAUCAUCAUUCUCUAUGACUGAAUGAUUUCAACGAAGUUAUUGAAAAAUUGUUUGUUGUCAUCAUUCAGUUGUUGAAAAUCUGUUUAACCCUCAGUGCCGUUGAUUCAACACCAACGUCAUCAACAUCAUUAUCACCGCGGGUUAUAACAGAUUAAUCAUCGUCCUCUCUAAUUGAAUAAUACCCAAUAAGAGAGGACAAAUAUCAUCUGAAAAUAUCUGUAAAUAUCUGUAAAUAUCUGUAAAUAUCUGAC
rnacentral:lncRNA from 1 species